AUUGAACGCUGGCGGCAGGCCUAACACAUGCAAGUCGAGCGGAUGAAGAGAGCUUGCUCUCUGAUUCAGCGGCGGACGGGUGAGUAAUGCCUAGGAAUCUGCCUGGUAGUGGGGGACAACGUUUCGAAAGGAGCGCUAAUACCGCAUACGUCCUACGGGAGAAAGCAGGGGACCUUCGGGCCUUGCGCUAUCAGAUGAGCCUAGGUCGGAUUAGCUAGUAGGUGAGGUAAUGGCUCACCUAGGCGACGAUCCGCAACUGGUCUGAGAGGAUGAUCAGUCACACUGGAACUGAGACACGGUCCAGACUCCUACGGGAGGCAGCAGUGGGGAAUAUUGGACAAUGGGCGAAAGCCUGAUCCAGCCAUGCCGCGUGUGUGAAGAAGGUCUUCGGAUUGUAAAGCACUUUAAGUUGGGAGGAAGGGCAGUAAGUUAAUACCUUGCUGUUUUGACGUUACCAACAGAAUAAGCACCGGCUAACUUCGUGCCAGCCGCCGCUGUAAAAC
rnacentral:rRNA from 1 species